rnacentral:rRNA from 1 species
AUACGGAGGGUGCAAGCGUUACUCGGAAUCACUGGGCGUAAAGCGCGCGCAGGCGGCUUGAUAAGUUGGAUGUGAAAGCCUACGGCUCAACCGUAGAACUGCAUCCAAAACUGUCAGGCUAGAGUGUGGGAGAGGAAGAUGGAAUUAGUUGUGUAGGGGUAAAAUCCGUAGAGAUAACUAGGAAUACCAAAAGCGAAGGCAAUCUUCUGGAACACUACUGACGCUGAGGCGCGAAGGCGUGGGGAGCAAACAGAAUUAGAAACCCCAGUAGUCC